rnacentral:lncRNA from 1 species
CACUAUCAUCCACCAGGAGAGAGAGGGAAACUGGAGCACUAUCAUCACUAUCCUGUUCUUUGAUGUCUUAUGUUAGCCAUGUGUUAGCCUUUACCUUAUAUGACCUGCAGGAAUGUGGUACGGUUUCCCCCAUAAAGAUAUAAUAUCAAACGGUUCUAUUUAAUUGUGUAAUUUACCCUAUAGACGUAGCCUAUGAAUUCUCGAUAUAUUACAAUGCCAUGGAGUCGUCCAAAAAUACCCUUUAAACACUUACAGAUUUUCUUCCCUACUGAUCCGAGUGAGUUUACCUCAGCUGACCUACGCUAUAUGAAACAGCCAGACAUCCAAUGCUGAGGAACCAACACAAUGUAACGCAGCCGUCUGCUCCAUCCCUUUCAACAGCGUCAGCGCUCACCUCUCAUUUCUGACCAUACAGUGCCAUCUACAGGAAACAUGGCCCACUGAGGAGAGCCAUGUUUCAUUUCAUCAUAGCAACACUACGCGGCAGUAUAGACGUUCUGCAGGAAAUCUCAAGUGUUAUUACAUACAGCAGGGAAGAACUAUUGGAUAUCAGAGGGACAUCAACUUAGAAAACAUUACGACCAGGAAUACGACUUUCCCGAAGCGGAUCCUUUGUUUGGUCCUCCACCCUGGACAUGUGAUCUAAUCUACCAACAUUACUGAAAAUUGAUAUAUACUGUAGUGUUUUUUGGAAUUAAACUCUUCAUGUACAGAGGCAGGCUGGCAUGUUAGAAGGCCACAGGCUAUUGGCUAUGGUAAACAAUUUAAAAGCUAUACAGUUAGCGGCUAGCAAGGAUAAAGAUAAUAACAGGUAAACAAUAGUAAGACC